CAGGACGAGCGCUGGCGGCGUGCUUAACACAUGCAAGUCGAACGAGAAGAGAUGAGAAGCUUGCUUCUUAUCGAUUCGAGUGGCAAACGGGUGAGUAACGCGUAAGCAACCUGCCCUCUAGAUGGGGACAACAGCUGGAAACGGCUGCUAAUACCGAAUACGUUCUUUCUGCCGCAUGGCAGAAGGAAGGAAGGGAGGCUCUUCGGAGCUUUCGCUGGAGGAGGGGCUUGCGUCUGAUUAGCUAGUUGGAGGGGUAACGGCCCACCAAGGCGACGAUCAGUAGCCGGUCUGAGAGGAUGAACGGCCACAUUGGGACUGAGACACGGCCCAGACUCCUACGGGAGGCAGCAGUGGGGAAUCUUCCGCAAUGGACGAAAGUCUGACGGAGCAACGCCGCGUGAACGAUGACGGCCUUCGGGUUGUAAAAUUCUGUUAUACGGGACGAAUGGUACGACGGUCAAUACCCGUCGUAAGUGACGGUACCGUAAGAGAAAGCCACGGCUAACUACGUGCCAGCAGCCGCGGUAAUACGUAGGUGGCAAGCGUUGUCCGGAAUUAUUGGGCGUAAAGGGCGCGCAGGCGGCGUCGUAAGUCGGUCUUAAAAGUGCGGGGCUUAACCCCGUGAGGGGACCGAAACUGCGAUGCUAGAGUAUCGGAGAGGAAAGCGGAAUUCCUAGUGUAGCGGUGAAGUGCGUAGAUAUUAGGAGGAACACCAGUGGCGAAAGCGGCUUUCUGGACGACAACUGACGCUGAGGCGCGAAAGCCAGGGGAGCAAACGGAAUUAGAUACCCCGGUAGUCCUGGCCGUAAACGAUGGAUACUAGGUGUAGGAGGUAUCGACCCCUUCUGUGCCGGAGUUAACGCAAUAAGUAUCCCGCCUGGGGAGUACGGCCGCAAGGCUGCAACUCAAAGGAAUUGACGG
rnacentral:rRNA from 1 species